CAACAGCUACCUUUCUUUUAGAUGAAAACAGUAAAGGAGUUAAACAUCCUAUUAGUGAAGACGCACAACUAGUUGCAAAACUCCCUAAAUUUAUCGUAAAACAUCCAUUUAUAUAUUAUGUAACUUCUCGUGAACAUGAGAUAUAUUUUGAGGGAAAAAUUACGAAAUAAGUUGUGUAAAAAAUUUAAUCGACAAAUUGUCUAGAAAUAUAUUUAAGAUAUACUUUAAA